rnacentral:rRNA from 1 species
AUUGAACGCUGGCGGCAUGCCUAACACAUGCAAGUCGAACGGCAGCACAGCAGUAGCAAUACUGUGGGUGGCGAGUGGCGGACGGGUGAGGAAUACGUCGGAAUCUGCCCAGUCGUGGGGGAUAACUAGCCGAAAGGUUAGCUAAUACCGCAUACGACCGAGAGGUGAAAGCGGGGGACCGCAAGGCCUCGCGCGAUUGGAUGAGCCGACGUCGGAUUAGCUAGUUGGCGGGGUAAAGGCCCACCAAGGCGACGAUCCGUAGCUGGUCUGAGAGGAUGAUCAGCCACACUGGAACUGAGACACGGUCCAGACUCCUACGGGAGGCAGCAGUGGGGAAUAUUGGACAAUGGGCGCAAGCCUGAUCCAGCCAUGCCGCGUGAGGGAAGAAGGUCCUCUGGAUUGUAAACCUCUUUUGGCAGGAAACAAACCUGCGCUAUACGCGCAGCUGAGGGUACCUGCAGAAUAAGCACCGGCUAACUCCG